rnacentral:rRNA from 1 species
GACGAACGCUGGCGGCGCGCUUAACACAUGCAAGUCGAGCGAAGCGGCGGACGGGUGAGUAACACGUGAGUAACCUGCCUUCGACAUUGGGAUAGCCUCGGGAAACCGGGAUUAAUACCAAAUGGUCUAAGAUGGACUCGCGUACCAUUAGCUAGUUGGUGAGGUAACGGCCCACCAAGGCGACGAUGGGUAGCCGUACUGAGAGGGUGAACGGGCACAUUGGAACUGGGAAACGGUCCAAACUCUACCGGAGGCAGCAGUGGGGAAUAUUGAACAAUGGAGGGAACUAUGAUGCAGCGACGCCGCGUGAACGAAGAAGGAUUUCGAGUCGUAAAGUUCAUUUAUAUGGGAAGCGGUACCAUAAGAAAAAGCCCCGGCUAACUACGUGCCAGCAGCCGCGGUAAUAC